GGAGUGUUCCUAUAGUAGUUUCUGUACAGAAGAGUCUUUUUGUUGUUGGAAAAUUUGAGCACCAAGUUAGCAGCAUUACAAGAAGGUGAAGCGGAUAAGUUUCUGUAGCUGGAAGCAGCAUUACAAGAAGGUGAAGCGGAUAACUUUCUGUAGCGAGAAGCAGCAUUAUAUUGGUGAGAUGAAAAUCGAAGGGAUGAACAUAAUGAACAUGCCAGCUCCAUUCCCCCAGAUGCCUAAACAGUUGGGGGUGAGAAUGGGAUUACUCUGGUCUUCACUCUUC
rnacentral:lncRNA from 1 species